CGGGUUAUAUUUAAGCAGUUGAUCAAAUUUUCUGUUUGCCAGAGAUGCUUUGCAAAUUGGCUUUUCUCCUUUUUCUGUUUAGUGGAAGACUGGCACAAUCAACUGACGAUAAUGAUAAAAACAUGCACAACCUGUUGGUUUGUAUCAGACAAAUGGAGCCAAAUUCGAAGGACACCAUUUUGAAAUUGCCGAAUAGAUGUGAAGACUUGAUGAGCAAGGUCGUCGAUCACUGGAAGUUAAGAGAAUUCGCUAAACAAGAUCAGAAAGUUUUUUACAAAAGAGGAGCAAAGGUAUCAUCAAAAAUGAGAACUUGGCAACCCUGGACAUAAAGCUUAAGAACAGUAUACAAAAUCUGUUUUUAAACAAAAUUUCCGCUCAAUAUAAAAAGUAGAGGUUGAAAUAUAAA